AUCAAGAAUGGUGGAAGGGAAGAGCCUGGGUCCCUGAAGAGAUCACAGAACAGAGCUGCCAUAGCCAUCCUACAUUGCCUCCCUUUAGACCUUUAGGGAGAGAAAAAUAAAAGUCUAUCCUCAAGUAAUAUUAUUUUGUUUUGUCAAAUAGUUAAUAGUAUAUAUAAUCCCCAACUAAUACUGCCACUUUAUAGGAAGGCUAAGGACAAAUUGUCUCUAUUUAUCACUCUUAGAUUUUUCAUCGGUCCCCCAGCAUUCAUAGCAGAUAAGGAAUUAACGGCUUUUCAGAAUGUUCUAUAAAAUACAGAUGCUAUGUUCAGUGUCAAAACUUCUGGGUGGAAGCAUCUAAUGAAUCUCUCCCACCCUCCCAAGCCAAAGCUGUCUGCCAGGGCCUAAGGAGAGAACAGAUCUCAUCUCCUUGCCUCCCACCAAGAUUCACGAAAAAGGAGUUUCUCCCCGAAUAGGGCAGAGUUCAGAUGUUGG
rnacentral:lncRNA from 1 species